UCUCUGUGCAUCUUCUUUCUCGCAGGAAUCCCGUCGAGUAUAUCAACGACCCUGGAUUCGUCGCUGCGUGUUAGAAGGAAAAAAACAAAAAAAAUUAUAUGAAGAUAAAGGGAGAUACGGAGGACUUGAUAUUGUGAAGGGAAGGAAGAGACGUCGACGGAAAACUUGGUUCGUGAUCCCUGUGGACGCCGCCGUGCUCGCGCACCGGGCAGCGCCUCGCGGCCAGGCCCCACGCGGCCAGCUCGAGGAGCCGCCGCCCUGCUACCCUGUGACUGUGAUGGACCCUGCGAGCGUGGUGCCCGCGCUAAGUGACCGUGGACUGGCGAGAUAAAAACAACUAAAAAAACAAAAAAAACAUGCACUGGUCGGCUGAUUUCUCCCGCGCAAGUCGCGUGCACUUCUUCGGGGCCCCAGCAGCGGCCUCCGGCGAGACUGACGUGACGGGUGGUGUCGGCUCUCAAGGCCCGUGCCUGAGCUUCCGAAGGUCUUCUCCACGUGACGCCUAGGCCAGAUUCAGAAGACGUGCCUCAUCGUGCUGGAGCGGGCCUUUGGGGCUUGAACGUUGCGACGCAGAAACAGAAGCUGACUCUCCUGAACUUCGCUAUCUGUCACGCUGCGUCCUAUACUCCCAGCAGCCAGGAUUUUUGCGGCCCGUUGGCUGUCUUGCCGUGGGUGGCGCCCGCAUCUGUGACCACCGUGACCGCCCCAUCGAUAACCCGCUCGCUGCCCCCUUCGUUCGGUGUUUCCAGCGCCCACUGCCGGCACAGGUGUCAAAGCCAACUGUUCAGAGAAAGCAGCCUUUUUUCUCACGGAAGCAAGAAAACAAAAUUAACUCUCCCAAAAAGCUGACUGUGCUCUGCGCUGGACGGUGCUGCGACAUGUAGCCUCCUCGAGCCGCUGCAGGGCUCCACUCUCGGCGUGGUGUUCGCCGAUGUGGUUGAAUCGCUCUUCAGCCGCGACUCAGCUCAAUGUAUGGUUUAUGAAGCCUGUUACAAGAGAAUCAAAUAUAAGAAUACUAUAUACACAUACAGAAAUAACAUAUAUAUGUAUAUACAAUAUAUAUUACAUAUCUACAAGCGUCAGUUACCCCGCACUCUAUUUGCCCUUUCACUGUGUGCGCGAGGCACAACUUUCCUUGUACAGAGACCGAUGUCGUUGACGUACGUUUGUUGCAUCGUUGGAUCGUUGGAUCACCCUACCCCUCUUUCACGGUCUAAAUGGCCACUUUCAGAUGGUGUAUAGAUAUAUCAUGUGUGUGUAUAUGUGCAUGUUAGUUCGUGGAUACUUUUUGUUCACCUGUUGAGAAACGUAAGCUGUGAAGUGAUAUUUGCGUAAUGUUCACACAAAGGUACGGCGCUGUCAAUUUCGUUAAUGUUUUGAGAAGAAAAAAACAUCAUUACUAUUUUGUGCGAACGUGCCUUACGCCUUUGUUUUGCUGUUUCACCAUUUUAUCUCCUUGCUGUGUAAAUAUUUAAAAAAAAGUGUGUUGAUAUCAAUAAAGUAUACUUUUCGCACCG